UACGUAGGUGACCAGCGUUGUCCGGAUUUACUGGGCGUAAAGAGCGCGCAGGCGGUCGUUCAAGUCGAGUGUGAAAGCCCCCGGCUCAACUGGGGAGGGUCAUUCGAUACUGAUCGACUUGAAGGCAGGAGAGGGAAGUGGAAUUCCCGGUGUAGUGGUGAAAUGCGUAGAUAUCGGGAGGAACACCAGUGGCGAAGGCGACUUCCUGGCCUGUUCCUGACGCUGAGGCGCGAAAGCUAGGGGAGCAAACGGG
rnacentral:rRNA from 1 species